AGGAUGAACGCUGGCGGCGUGCCUAAUACAUGCAAGUCGAGCGGUAAGGCUACUUCGGUAGUACACGAGCGGCGGACGGCUGAGUAACACGUAGGAACGUACCCCAAAGUGAGGCAUAAGCACCAGAAAUGGUGUCUAAUACCGCAUGUGAUCUUUCGGAUUAAAGCUUCGGCGCUUUGGGAACGGCCUGCGCAUGAUUAGCUUGUUGGUGAGGUAAUAGCUCACCAAGGCGACGAUCAUUAGCUGGUCUGAGAGGAUGACCAGCCAGACUGGGACUGAGAACGGCCCAGACUCCUACGGGAGGCAGCAGUAGGGAAUUUUCCACAAUGGGCG
rnacentral:rRNA from 1 species